AUGAUUGCAUGUUCUAUAUCUAAUUUCACUAACUCUUCGGGUGUAUUUUUCACAGUGGUUGUUCAUUUUUUCUGUUAUCAGUGCUUACCACCUGAUUGAGAAAAUGUAUUAAAUUGGCCUUUUUUUAGAUUAUUGAUAUGUUUUGGAUGUUUUUUGGUUUGUCAUGUGUGUAAGAAUGUGAAAUCAACUAUAUAAGGUAGUCAAUUUCAAUAUAGCAGUAGCAGCUGCAGGAACUACAAUAGUAGUAGCUGCUGGGAUUCUAGAUGGAUGAAGAGGAGUGGGGUUAUAUUGAAGUCAGACCCAAGCGCUUAUGUUCUGUUGUUCAAGCCAGAUGGCCAACCACUCUCUAGCAUCAAAGUGGACCAUUUGUGUAGGGAUCGUUGAUGGCAUAUGUGGUAGUACUGGGCAAUGCAAUAAGAAGAAAGGAGAGAACGUAGAAGGGAUCAUGUCACCUUGCAUGGAAAAACCUAGGGAUUUUGAUAAGACGAUUAAUUUGUUCAAUUUUUGCUAAAGUUUCUAAGUUACAAGUUUAUAACAAUGUCAAUGUACGCGACGCUUGACUGACCUGACUUCUGAGUCAACGUCAAAGUAGACUAGAAUCAACGAGUGAAAAGACUUGGCAAUAAAUUGAGUGGAUAUUACUUGCAUUCCUUAUUUGAA